UACGGAAGGCAGCAGGUGGGGAAUAUUGCACAAUGGGCGAAAGCCUGAUGCAGCUAUGCCGCGUGUAUGAAGAAGGCCUUAGGGUUGUAAAGUACUUUCAUCGGGGAGGAAAAACAAAACUAAUAAUUUUAUUUCUUGACGUUACCCGAAAAAGAAGCACCGGCUAACUCCGUGCCAGCAGCCGCGGUAAUACGGAGGGUGCUAGCGUUAAUCAGAAUUACUGGGCGUAAAGAGCACGUAGGUGGUUUUUUUAAGUCAGAUGUGAAAUCCCUGGGCUUAACCUGGAACUGCAUUUUGAAACUGAAAUACUAGAGUAUCGUAGAGGGAGGUAGAAUUCUAGGUGUAGCGGUGAAAUGCGUAGAUAUCUGGAGGAAUACCUGUGGCGAAAGCGGCCUCCUAAACGAAUACUGACACUGAGGUGCGAAAGCGUGGGGAGCAAACAGGGAUUAGAUACC
rnacentral:rRNA from 1 species